AUGUCAAUUCGUCUUGAUAGAUGCACCAGUUACUGCAAUCCAGAAUAUUGUAAAGUUAAGACAGUUUGCCGACCAUUAAAUCGUACAUCGAAAUUUGUAUCAAUGGACAUUUAUUUUCGUCCCGGUGUCAAAUUGGAAGAUCCGACUUAUGUGAAAAUAGCUGCGCACAAGAAAUUCGCCACCGUUUACCGGCCACACAUGAUAAAUUUGAAAACGGAACUCUGUAAAGAACUCAAAAUCGGGUCCCAUCCCUUUUUAUUCGGAUUAACGAAAGAUAGGACUAGCUACGCUGCGAAUUUGUUGGACCCAUGUCCUAUCACCGGACACCGCCGUUCGAAGCCAAGAGUAACAAAUGUCUUUGACUAUGUAUCCCCAUUCACACCACUUUUUCCUGCUGGAGAAUGGAGACUCGAUAUAACACUAUCAGUCAUAAGGAAUGUUACAGACGUGGUGGUGUUAUCUUGGAAUGAUUAUUAUGAAAUUAAACCAUUGACAGCAGAACAGUUCUAACAACAA